CGGGGCGUGGCGCAGGGGUAGCGCACCUGCUUUGGGAGCAGGGAGUCGCUGGUUCAAAUCCAGUCGCCCCGACCA
rnacentral:tRNA from 1 species